rnacentral:rRNA from 1 species
UACAGAGGGGGCAAGCGUUGUUCGGAAUUACUGGGCGUAAAGGGCGCGUAGGCGGCCUUCUAAGUCGAACGUGAAAUCCCCGGGCUCAACCCGGGAACUGCGUCCGAUACUGGAAGGCUUGAAUCCGGGAGAGGGAUGCGGAAUUCCGAGGUGUAGCGGUGAAAUGCGUAGAUAUCUGGAGGAACACCGGUGGCGAAGGCGGCAUCCUGGACCGGCAUUGACGCUGAGGCGCGAAGCCAGGGAG